rnacentral:rRNA from 1 species
GACAGAGGAUGCAAGCGUUAUCCGGAAUGAUUGGGCGUAAAGCGUCUGUAGGUGGCUUUUAAGUCCGCCGUCAAAUCCCAGGCUCAACCCUGGACAGGCGGUGGAAACUACCAAGCUGGAGUACGGUAGGGCAGAGGGAAUUUCCGGUGGAGCGGUGAAAUGCGUAGAGAUCGGAAAGAACACCAACGGCGAAAGCACUCUGCUGGGCCAACACUGACACUGAGAGACGAAAGCUAGGGAGCGAAUGGG